rnacentral:rRNA from 1 species
UACGUAGGGUGCAAGCGUUAAUCGGAAUUACUGGGCGUAAAGCGUGCGCAGGCGGUGAUGUAAGACAGUUGUGAAAUCCCCGGGCUCAACCUGGGAACUGCAUCUGUGACUGCAUAGCUAGAGUACGGUAGAGGGGGAUGGAAUUCCGCGUGUAGCAGUGAAAUGCGUAGAUAUGCGGAGGAACACCGAUGGCGAAGGCAAUCCCCCUGGACCUGUACUGACGCUCAUGCACGAAAAGCGUGGGGAGCAAACAGG